GUCAGCAUGGUGUAGUGGUUUGAACAUUGGACUAUGACCCUGGAGAUCAGGGUUUGAUUCCCUGCUCAGCCA